ensembl:lncRNA
GCUCAUUAUUAUGAAGGGGUUAGGACUGGGCGUCCUCUAGUGGACAAAGCGUGUGCGGAGUUUUCCGUCUUUCACUUCCCCCAGUGUUCCCUCUGGCUCUAAAACGGAACAAGUCCCGGGUCGUACUGUAGGAAGUCGCUCUCGUAACUUUUAGGAAAGUAACGUAGAUACACAGAAAGUCAGCCAUUCUCUUGGUGGUUUCCAUGGGAGAGCUGCUCGGAAAGUGAGGAGGAACUCCGUCAGGUGCCAUGGAAGCACAAACAAGAGCUAAAGGAUUCCCUUGUUGAUAUGUACAAAGGUGCUGGUGGAGUUGAACAAAUCCAUGCAAUGGCUGGAGAAUGGUGAAAAGUCAGAAACCAAACCUGGGUUUUUUCAAGAUAUUAUAAGAAAUUCUUGGUGCAUUU